rnacentral:rRNA from 1 species
UGAGGAAUCCUGCGCAAUGGGGGAAACCCUGACGCAGCAACGCCGCGUGAGUGAGGAAGGUCUUCGGGUCGUAAAGCUCUGUCAGGCGGGAAGAAAUGGAUGGAGGUGAACAGCCGCCAUGCUUGACGGUACCGCCAGAGGAAGCACCGGCUAACUCCGUGCCAGCAGCCGCGGUAAUACGGGGGGUGCAAGCGUUGUUCGGAAUCAUUGGGCGUAAAGAGCGUGUAGGCGGCUUGGUAAGUCAGAUGUGAAAGCCCUGGGCUCAACCCGGGAAGUGCACUUGAAACUGCCAGGCUCGAGUAGGGGAGAGGGAAGUGGAAUUCCUGGUGUAGGGGUGAAAUUCGUAGAUAUCAGGAGGAACACCGGUGGCGAAGGCGACUUCCUGGCCCUAUACUGACGCUGAGACGCGAGAGCGUGGGUAGCAAACAG